CACAGAGGGGGCAAGCGUUGUUCGGAAUUACUGGGCGUAAAGGGCGCGUAGGCGGCCUUCUAAGUCGAACGUGAAAUCCCCGGGCUCAACCCGGGAACUGCGUCCGAUACUGGAAGGCUUGAAUCCGGGAGAGGGAUGCGGAAUUCCAGGUGUAUCGGUGAAAUGCGUAGAUAUCGGGAGGAACACCUAUGGCGAAGGCAGCUCGCUGGGACGUUACUGACGCUGAGACGCGAAAGCGUGGGGAGCAAACAGG
rnacentral:rRNA from 1 species